rnacentral:lncRNA from 1 species
UUUUUUUUUUUUUUUUUUGUCUUUUUGCUAUUUCUUUGGGCCGUAUGGAGGUUCCCAGGCUAGGGCUCCGAUUCGACCCCUAGCCUGGGAACCUCCAUAUGCCACGGGAGCGGCCUAAGAAAUGGCAAAAAGCCAAAAAGCCAAAAAAAAAAAAAAAAAAAAACCAACUAUGCAGAAUGUUAUCCAUUCUUACCACCUCCAGUAUUGGCACCUUCAGCCAAACUAGCAUCCUCUCCUGUCUUAUUUUUAUAAUUGCCUCUUAACUCAUCUCCCUGCCACCCCAGCCCCAGUCUGUUCUCAGCAGAGCAGCUGUAGGGAUCCUACCAAGAUAUGUUGUAUUAUUCCCCAUCUGUCUCAUUUGGAGUAAGAGGUAGAGUCUGCUCUACCUAAAAGACCCCAUGUCCUACUCCCCUGCUGGGUCAGCCUCUCCAGCCACUCAGCCUCCUUGUACCUGCCUUAUUUUUCUCCACAACAUUUUCACUGUCUGACAAGCUGACAUAUGUAUUUUUCAUCUGAUACUCCCACUGGAAUGAGAGAGAUGUGAGAAUAGGGACUGUGUAUGUUGUUCAUUGCUGUACCCCUGGGGCUUAAAAUACCUCCUUAGACAUUACAGGCACUAAAUACAUGUUUGUUAAAGGGAAAAAAACUCCAUGAGGGGAGGAGUGGAGGAUGUUAGGAAAAAUAUGGACAGAGGUUCCUUAGGGCGAGGGACAGUCACAAAGAAAGGAUGACAAAUGGGGCCUUGGCCCAAGUUUUGAAAAAUUCGGACACAGCGAUCUAGGGGCAGCUUUCACUUUUGUCACUGUAUUGUUUUUUCCUUUUUUCCCACCAUGGGACAGUUGUAUCAUUUCAUCUGUGACAGCUACAUGUCAUGAAGCGAAACUUGGCUAAUUGGCUCUAACAGGGGGAAAGGCCCUUUGAAGGUCCUUGGGGGUUGAACCAGCAUCUCUCGAGUUCAUCUGCAUGGCUGAUACUCUAGUUGCUAGCGGGCACUGCAUUAGUCCUAGACCCACAGAAAGGAAACCCCUCCCACACGGGGUGUUGGACUCCUUCCGCAUCUGCAGCCCCAUCUGUGGGAUGCGGUCCUAGGGCAGCUUCUGAGAUGCCUUCCUUCAGCGGGCAUGUGGCAUUUCAGUCUCGGGGUUGACCAUGGCUUCAACCGCAGCAGGAUGUUUACCAUCUCUGGCUCCCAGAAUUGGUCUUGACACCAAAAGCGUUUUCCCACGCAUGCACACACCCCCAGAUUUGAGAACUAGGGUAUUGGAGAGGCUCUGAGGAGGCAAUCCAUGGAGCGACUCCAAAGUACCAUUGACUUAUGGCCAGAAGACAAUGCUCUGGAUGCUCUGGAUAUGUCGGGAUGCCUUUGGUGUGUUUUCUGAAACUCUGCUUGUGAUUAUUCACUGAGUGUUUGAUUUGGAGCCCACUUCUUUCUGAAAAGGGUUUGAGGUAGUUUUAUGUGUGUAUAUAUAACCCCCCACACAAAUAUACACUUAAAUUUAACAAAUGUGGGAAAAACUCCAGCCUGGGAGACCAGGAGUAUGCAGGUGAGUGAGUCCGGUGUGGAGGUGGAGGUAGGAUGAUCCCUACCAGGGAGGUGACCCCCCUCCACCAUGGUUGCAGCACUUUGCUUUAUCUCUAAUUUUUUCCUUUCGUCAUCGCUGGUUGUGUCUUUUGAAUUGAAAGAUCUAAGUAACUGAUUCUAUAGCAUCAUUGAAAAAGUGAAUCUAGGACUUUGAGUGGACAUUCUAGACGAUUCAUGUCUGUCUCCACCUCCAGCUGAGAGGCCAUGAACUGUGCCAAUUCAUCUACGUGCUCCGGUACCUGGAAGGCAGGAGGAGCCCCAUAAAUAUUUUAUUGAGUAAAUGAAUGGUAUUACAGUUCUCCUUACUGGAAAGGAAGAAGCCAGUCCAUUGUUUGAGGGAGAGUUGUUGAUUUUUUUUUUCCCCCCAAAAACAAUUCUGUUGAGAGUUCUCCCAAGUGGACACUUAUAUCAAGGAUGUUGAAUGUUGUCCUGGAUCUUGUUCUCAAGGAAACUCUGGAGAAACUUCAGCUGCAGGAGGGUUCAUUAGGCCUUUCCUUGCAGAGGGAAAGUUGCAGGCAGGGCAGUUGAAUGGGGGAGUGCUUCAGAUGCCCCAGCGAUGUAGUCCAGGUGUGUACCUUCCACUCAUCUCACCUGACCCAAGAAGGAUGCUUUAGACCCUCAGCGCAUGUGGAGAACAGCCCCUCAAUGUUACUGCUUCCUGGGCAGCAGUGGGUACAUGGGAGGUGGUUGGGUUUGAAGUUGUAUUAAUAUAGUAGUAAAAAGCAGGGACCUUGUAUAGAAUUAUACAUAAAUGGAUACACCGAAAAAGUCUUUGCAAAAAUGCAUGAAACCCACAUAAUUUCUGUAGACCAAUUAAGUGUAUCAUGCCUGCAUCAAUGUCCUGGUUUUAAUAAAGUAUUAGAGUUAUUAAGUUACUUAAUUGAUCUCUGGCCUCCCUUAGUGGGUUAAGGGUCCAGCAUUGCCACAGGCUGUGGUGUAGGACGCAUAUGCAGCUUGGAUCCUGUGUUUCUGUGGCUGUGGGAUAGGCCUCAGCUGCAACUCCAGUUCAACCCCUAGCCUGGGAACUUCCAUGUGCCUCAGGUGCAGACCUAAAAAAAAAAAAAAA